CUUUGAGGAGCAAAAUUGCGCAAAAAUACCAGAAACAGAAAAAACGCUAUAUAUAAGAAUUUUAUUGAAGGAUUUUUCGAAAAAAAAAAAACAAUUUUGACUUAUCUAUUUGGAUCUCACCCCACCGACUGGAAAUUCGAUGAAUUGGGACAAGAUGAGAGUGGAAAGCUGCUAAAAAGACUUUCAAGGGAAUCCAAAGAUUUUCAGAGUACUGGCAUUUCAUCUGGCGC
rnacentral:sRNA from 1 species